AGCGAACGCUGGCGGCAGGCCUAACACAUGCAAGUCGAACGAACUCUUCGGAGUUAGUGGCGGACGGGUGAGUAACACGUGGGAACGUGCCUUUUGGUUCGGUAUAACUCAGGGAAACUUGUGCUCAUACCGAUUGUGCCCUUCGGGGGAAAGAUUUAUUGCCAUUAGAGCGGCCCGCGUCUGAUUAGCUAGUUGGUGAGGUAACGGCUCACCAAGGCGACGAUCAGUAGCUGGUCUGAUAGGAUGACCAGCCACACUGGGACUGAGACACGGCCCAGACUCCUACGGGAGGCAGCAGUGGGGAAUCUUGCGCAAUGGGCGAAAGCCUGACGCAGCCAUGCCGCGUGAAUGAUGAAGGUCUUAGGAUUGUAAAAUUCUUUCACCGGGGACGAUAAUGACGGUACCCGGAGAAGAAGCCCCGGCUAACUUCGUG
rnacentral:rRNA from 1 species